rnacentral:ncRNA from 1 species
UAAAAGUUUGGUCCUAACUUUAUUAUCAAUUAUUUCUUGAAUCUUACACAUGCAAGUAUCAGCAAACCAGUGAGGACGCCCUUAAUUUCUUUACCAGAUAAAGGAGCCGACAUCAGGCACAGAACUCUUGCCCAUAACGUCUAGUCCCACCACACCCACAAGGGUCUUCAGCAGUGAUAAAGAUUGUCUAUAAGCGUCAGCUUGAAUCAGUUAAAGAAAAGAGAGCCGGCUAAUCUGGUGCCAGCCGCCGCGGCUACACCAUGAGGCCCAAAUUGACAAUUAUCGGCGUUAAGCGUGAUUAAAGGCCCAACCCGCUAGAGUUGAACCCUAGUUUAGCUGUGAAAAGCUUACUACUGGGAAAAUCAUAAACGAAAGUUACUCUACUACUUCUUGAAUUCACGACAGCUGGAAUUACAAACUGGGAUUAGAUACCCCACUAUGUCCAGCCGUAAAAAAUUAACUUACAUAAACAAGCGCCUGGGUAUUACGAGCGCAAGCUUAAAAUCCAAAGGAUUUGACGGUAUCCCACCCACCUAGAGGAGCCUGUUCUAUAAUCGAUAACCCUCGAUAUACCCAACCAUUUCUUGCCCCAUCAGCCUGUAUACCUCCGUCGUAAAUUUACCGUUUGAACGAAUAAAAGUAAGUUUAAUGAUCUACCCCAUCAACACGUCAGGUCAAGGUGCAGCUAAUGUAAUGGAAAGUAAUGGGCUACAAUCUCUAUAAUAGAACAAACGAAAAACUACAUGAAAAAUAGUCAUGAAGGCGGAUUUAGUAGUAAAAGGGGAAUAGAGUGCCCCUUUAAAAUAGGCCCUGGGAUGUGUACAAACCGCCCGUCACCCCCUUCAAUAGCAUAUCUUAAGCUUCCUAACAUAACCAAAGCACAUUAGAAGGGGCAAGUCGUAACAUGGUAAGUGUACUGGAAAGUGCACUUGGUAAACA